GAUCAUGGCUCAGGAUGAACGCUAGCUACAGGCUUAACACAUGCAAGUCGAGGGGCAGCAUUUUAGUUUGCUUGCAAACUGAAGAUGGCGACCGGCGCACGGGUGAGUAACACGUAUCCAACCUGCCGAUAACUCCGGAAUAGCCUUUCGAAAGAAAGAUUAAUACCGGGUAGCAUACGAAUAUCGCAUGAUAUUUUUAUUAAAGAAUUUCGGUUAUCGAUGGGGAUGCAUUCCAUUAG
rnacentral:rRNA from 1 species